AGGAAAAUAGCUUAGUGGUAGAGCAUCGGUUUCUUACAUGUUAACUCAAAGGUCGUCGGUUCGAUCCUAGGCUUCCCCGG